rnacentral:lncRNA from 1 species
GUAUUAAAUAGUUGCGUAAACCACAUCUUCUCCAACUUUAAUGUGGCUGGGAUUCAAGUGGGUAUCUUUCUAAAAUGCAGAUUCUGAUUCAAAAGGUCUGGGGUUGAGUCACAGAUUCUGUAUUUCUUACAACACUGGCAUCUUAUGUGAUGCCACUGUUGCUGGACCAAAGACCAUAUUGUAAGUAGCAAGCAUAUAAACAACCUUGUUUUGUAAAUAAGAAAACAGGAUUAAGACGGCAAAUAAUUUACCACGAUCACAGAGCUACGGUGAGUCAGGAUUUGAAUUCAGGUGUAUCUGACCAACCAAUAAAGAGCCUAUCAAGGUGCUGGAGGAUGCAGGGAUUAGAGCCAGCAGAGUAAGUUUGGAGGAGGAGGCUGACCUCCUUAAAUGUGAGAAUUUACUGGGAAAUGGUGGGAGACAACAUCGGUACCAGAAAUAGAAGUCAUCCACUGCUUAAUAUAGAAUUAGUGCUACAGAGAAGAAACAGAAGUCAAACCUUGUUUCUUGACCUGUGAAUAUCAAGACAUUCCAUUGACUGGGGAGCCAUGAUGCAGAGUUACUCCCUUCCAUCACAGAUGCGUCCACGACAUUGUCAUAAGAGAAGACUUCAAAUUUGGAAGGAAACAAAGAAAGGAAAAGAAAAGAAAGAAAAGGAGAAGAAUAUCUAGAAGAUCUGCUUGUGUAGACUUGCCCUUUGGUCCAACGUGUUACAAAUCAAUGCAAAGACUUCCAAGAUAUAGAAGAGGGAGGUGCAGAACAGACUCUUCGCUGACGUGCUUGGGACACUGUGGAAGUUUUAUAAGCAUGUCUGGCUGAAUUUAAUGCUGUAGUUUUUAACCGACAUCUAAUAUAUGUGGAGAUGCUAACCUGAUUCCAGGACUAUUGAUUUACUUGUUCUUUCGUGCCGUCAGGAAAUAUUUCAUGUAUACUUACCAUGAGUCAAUGUCAGGGCUGAGGUGGGGAGACUGAACUGAAAGGCCUCUUGAUAAAGUUCUUGUUUCCCUGGAGCUUACAGUCUAGAAGAGGAAAAAGCAUAAAGAAACAUGUAAUUACAAA